rnacentral:rRNA from 1 species
UGGUUAAGCAAUAAGAGCAUAGGGUGAAUGCCUAGGCACUGAGAGCCGAAGAAAGACGUGAUAAGCUGCGAAAAGCCGCGGGG